UACGGAGGGGGCUAGCGUUGUUCGGAAUUACUGGGCGUAAAGCGCACGUAGGCGGCUUUGUAAGUUAGAGGUGAAAGCCCGGAGCUCAACUCCGGAAUUGCCUUUAAGACUGCAUCGCUCGAAUCAUGGAGAGGUGAGUGGAAUUCCGAGUGUAGAGGUGAAAUUCGUAGAUAUUCGGAAGAACACCAGUGGCGAAGGCGACUCACUGGACAUGUAUUGACGCUGAGGUGCGAAAGCGUGGGGAGCGAACAGG
rnacentral:rRNA from 1 species